rnacentral:lncRNA from 10 species
UUUAUUUGAAACACUUUUCUGGCUCUGUUAGUGACUCCAACACCAUACUUAAGCUUACUUCAAAAUGACUUAUACAUCUCUAUUUUCCUUAAAGUAUGCGCACAGAUAAGAAAAGAUGGGGUGAAUUUUUUUUUUUUUUUUGAGAAGGGGUCUUGCUCUGUCACCCAGGCUAGAGUGCAGUGGUGCGAUCUCAGUUCACUGCAACUUCCGCCUCCCGGGUUCAAGCAAUUCUCCCACCUCAGCCUCCGAAGUAGCCAGGAUUACAGGGGCGUGCCACCACACCUGGCUAUUUUUUGCAUUUUUAGUAGAGAUGGGGUUUCACUGUGUUGGCCAGGCUGGUCCUGAACUCCUGACCUCAGGUGAUCCACCUGCCUCGGCCUCCCAAAGUGCUGGGAUUACAGGCGUGAGCCACGUCGCCCGGCCAAGAUGGGGUAAUUUUGAUGUCCAGACACAAGUUGUCAUUUAAGAUGAAGCUUCGAUUGUAACUCUAUGAAGCCCUGCUGAAUAUUAAAAGCUUAUAGAAAGCAGCUUUUCUCCCCCAGGCAAAAAGAGCCCUUUGAUCUGUGGUGGGACUUUGCAAAAAGCUGAGCUGCCACUCAAAGAAAUAAUUCCCCGCUAACUGCAAGUUUCUGUCUUGUUUAUGGAGGGCCUGUUGAGAAGGCCCUCCAAACCUUUGGUUCCAGGGUCUGGCAAGGGGAAUCUGUCAUCAUUCAUUGCAAACUACACCUCCACCCACUGGGCUGAAGACCUGUGCAAGGAUAGACCAAGAACUUCCUCUGGGGUGGCUGUGCUCAUGGAUGCUGAUUUGACAAUUUCCAACCUCCCUCAUUACCAAGAUCCCCUUCCUUCACCUGUGAAACCAAAAUUCCAUCUUCUUCUCUUCCCUCCUUUGUGACAGAGUGGGGAAAGAUGGGGACUGAGGGAAAGGAGAGUAGAAACUCAGUCCCUUGAGAGAUGGGAGCUGAUGGGAAGGAGGUAGAAACUUGGUCCUUUAGCCAGGAGGCUCUGCAGGCAUUCAGGCCUGAUCUACCAUGUAAGGUGAUUUCUUUCUUUUUGGAAAGCUCCCAUUUCAUGGGGUGGACAGGUCCAAGGACUGCUCUGGACCACUUGGUGAUCACAUGGGCCGAAGUAGGGGUAGAGGACCCCAAAUUGAAUGUGUGGAGGGGACUCUGAAGCAGGUGUGAAUGCCAGGAGAGGUGGGAGGAAGGACAAGGGCGGUGCAUCAAGACCACAGAAGCCGGCCCGGCCAGCCUUCCCACAAAGUUACUUGAACUGAGCUCUCCAUAAGUACACAUGCACACACACCCAAGAAUAAACUGGACAAAUGGCAGCAGAAAGAGAAAGAACAGAAAAGAGAGCUGAUGAAUACAUCCAUAAUCAGCACUAACACAGCCCUGGAAAGAAAAGCAAAAAGAAAAGGCAAGCGCUGUGGUGUGCAGCUCUUAUUGUCUAAUAAAAGAAAAUAUACCAAUUCUUUGGGGAAUUUAAUUUUUUCUGGAAAUAAAUUCUUGGAAGAAUUUAUGUGACAGAACACCCCAGGGGAACAUCCUUGCGUUAGGAAGGAGGCCACCUCGUCUGGCGGCCUCGGGCAUUCCAGUGAUGCAGGGGAGGGGCCCAGGCAGCUGUGCUGGUCCAAGGGGCUCCAGGUAGAAUGAGCUGUAUCCUUGGCCAGAGGAUGUUGCGCAUCCUCUGGGGGGAUAUGACGGGAGAAUGAUGGGGGGAGUUGGGGAGAUGUCCCCAGGUAUUACAAGUGGAGGCUGGGGACUACCACUGUCAGUUCAUUGUCAACUAUGUCCGCCUCAUAGACAGGGCACAAGCCUAUCCUUAGGGACACACGUGAAGAGGGGAGGCAGGAAGAUUCAGGCGCGCUCUCCGGCCUAGACUGGCUGAAGGAGGGAGAUUUUAAUGCUUGGCAUAGGUGGUGAGGGGUCCACCAAAGGUAGGAACACAUCCCUGGGGCUCUGGGAGGAAGAAGCGUCAGGACUGCAGCUCCAGCCUCUUCAGGCCCAGGGUCCUAGGGUGGAACAAGGCUGGAAAACUGGUGCAUGGAGGAAAGAAAAAAAAUGGGAAGGGAGAAUGGACAGGUAGGAAGGAAGGAAAGGAGGAAAGGGAAAUGGAGGAAGAAAGACAUGGAAAGCUGGGAGGACAGAGGGCAAGGCAGAAGGUAAAGGAGGCAAGGCCAAGGCUGUGAGGAGGAAUUCCGCUUUUAUUCUGCUGUCUGGCUUCAUGCCAUUGCAUGGGGCCCUGUAAAAUAAAAAAUGAUACCUCCCAGGGCUAUUGGUUUUUAUCUUAGAGGACUCUGUGGGGAGAUGUGGAAAGCUGUUCAAGUGGCAAGGCUUGGGAGCUGAGUUUCAUGACGAUGGCCGUCUAGGGCUGUUCAAAGUUAAGAUGACAGAUUGGCAGAGUGCAGGGAGGUGAGAGAGUAUUGGGGAAGUUUUCCAUACAGGGGACCAUGUAGUGUUUUGCUGGGAAGAUAGACCUGGGUGGAGGUGAGACUGGUGGGUGCCACAGAUGAUUCUAACUCCUGCUCCUUCUCUUGUCCUUCCAACAAACCAACCACACAUGUAACAUAGUCAUAAGAGCUUGCAGGGAGGAGAAAAGAGAGAUAUCAACAGACCAAGGGAGACAGAGGGUGGAGGGCCAUGCUGUGGACAGUGAGGGGAGGAGGUCCUUCCUCUCCGCCACUGCCCUCAAGGCUGCUUGAGGCUCCCACGCUGAGGUGUCCACCUGGCUGAGAGGCUGCUGCUUAUCUGUUCCCCAACUUCUCCACCUGCUGGUGCAGCUCUCCCUUGCUGUGCUAGGAGAGAACCCACUGGGAGGGUCUUGGCAUCUCCAAGUGGGGCCCUCCUGCUGAGACACUGGGUGGCUGUGGAGGGAGCUCAGCCCUCAUUCCUCCCCGAGCUCAUAUCUACAGAGCAGCAAGUCUCCCCACUCCACCAGAGGAGAGCACAGGAGAGCUAGGCAGCUGCCUCCACCAAGACUUCACCCAACCACGGUCCUUCACUCCCACCAGGACAGGACAACCCAGCCUCCCGGGUCCCAGGAGGACUUGGCAUGGCUGAGGACACCCAAGAGGAACCACCAGCCUAUCCCUGAAAAAGCAAAGACACUUUGGGGAACAGAAGAGCGUCUUAAAAGAUAUCAACUUUGACUCAGAGAUUUCAAGAAGACGCUCUAUCCAAAAACCAAAGAAGAAGUGUCAAAGCUGUUGUAAAUGUUUAAAAGAAUAGCCACCUUGAUUGCAUUUUGAGUGAAUUGUGAAUUCCCUCUCCCUGGGUCUUCCUCAUUCUUCUACAUCCUCCCCAUUUCUGUACUGAAUUUAUAGCAGACUGAAUUUGGAAGUUGAUUUGAAUGUUUAAAUAUAUGAGACACUCUUUGUU